AUGCAUAAAAAAAGAAAAAGAGAGAAAAGAAAAGAAAAAGAGAGAAAAGAAAAGAAAAAGAGAGAAAAGAAAAGAAAAAGAGAGAAAAGAAAAAGAGAAAGAAACUCCUUUUUGAGCGCCGCCGCAGGGGCUGUGUCCCUGCAGGACGUCCCAGCGCCCAGCAGGGACACGGCACCGUCCCCCCGUGCCCAAGGGCGCCACGGCCGCUCCACUCUGCCCGCUCCUGCGGCGCCUGCCACCCGCGUCCUCAUCACCCGCAUGUCCUUGUCACUGUCACCCGCACAUCCUUGUCACCUGCGUCCUCAUCACCAUCACCUGCAUCCUCAUCUCCCGCAUCAUCUCCAUCACCCUCAUCCUCAUCUCCCGCAUCAUCUCCUGUGUCAUCUCCAGCACAUCCUCAUCACCAUCUCCCGCAUCCUCAUCACCCACAUCCUCAUCACCACCACUCGUGUCCUCACUGCCCAUGUCAUCACUAUCACCCAUGUCCUCCUCACCCAUGUCCUGUCCUGCGUCCUCGUCACCAUCUCCCACAACCUCAUCUCCUGUGUCCUCAUCACCACCACCUGUGUCCUCACUGCCCACGUCAUCACCAUCACCCAUGUCCUCAUCACCCAUGUCCUGUCCUGCAUCCUCGCCCAUGUCCUCACCACCUGCAUCCUCAUCUCCCGCAAUCUCAUCUCCUGCGUCCUCGCCGCCCGCAUCCUCAUUCUCGCUGUCCCCACAUUUACCUCCUGGGGCCAGCAAGGCCACUGCCUGAGCCGGGCACGAGCGCCAGCAGCGUCCCGCUGUGGGUCGCUCCCAUCCCUGCGGCGCCCCCAUGGCAUCAGAGCCGGUGCAGGACCCUCUUGGCUCCACCGAGCUCGUGCGGGAGAAGCCUGGAUCAGGCCCUGACUCAAAGGGAGCCCGGUGCCGGCGGGGCCAGAAACCAGCGCUCCCGCGACAGCGUUUCACUUCUCCUCCGCCCAAGUUUUGCCGCUCACCGGCAGCGCUCGGUUCCCCAAACCUGGCCCAGCCCCCCAGGUGCCGAGGAGGGGACGGGGCCCCCCCGCUUCCCCUCCGCGCCGCCGAAACCACAGGGACCUGAGCACGGCGCCAGAGCCUCGCCACCACCGCCCGGAGCUGCACCUGCGCCACAACCGACCCGGACCUGCACCCGCACCCCAAAGCUGCACCCGUGCCGGAGCUGCACCCGCACUGGAGACGCCUGGAACUGCACCCACCGCCCAGAGCUGCACCCGCAGCCCAAAGCUGCACCCGCACCGGAGCCGCCUGGAACUGCACCCGCAGCCCAGAGCUGCACCCGCACCAGAGCCGCCCGGAGCUGCACCCGCACCAGAGCUGCACCCACACCAGAGCCGCCCCCGCACCGGAGCUGCCCAGAGCUGCACCCGCACCAGAGCCACCCAGAGCUGCACCCGCGCCGCAGCAUCGCCGGAGCUGCCCAGCACCGGAGCCUCACUGCAGCUGUCUGAAGCUGCACCCACGCCGGAGCCUGGCCACAGCCACCUGAAGCUGCACCCGCGCCGGAGCCCGGGCGCAGCCACUUGAAGCUGCACCCGCGCCAGAGCCAGGCCGCAGCUGCCUGAAGCUGCACCCGCGCCAGAGCCUCGCUGCGGCCGCCUGAAGCUGCACCCGUGCCGGAGCCCGGCCGCGGCCGCCUGAAGCUGCACCCGCGCCGGAGCCUGGCCGCAGCUGCCUGAAGCUGCACCCGUGCUGGAGCCUCACUGAGGCCGCCUGAAGCUGCACCCGUGCCGGAGCCUCACUGCGGCCGCCUGAAGCUGCACCCGUGCCGGAGCCCGGCCACGGCCGCCUGAAGCUGCACCCGUGCCAGAGCCCGGCCGUGGCCGCCUGAAGCUGCACCCGUGCUGGAACCUCGCUGAGGCCAUCUGAA
ensembl:lncRNA